rnacentral:rRNA from 1 species
GUGCCAGCAGUCGCGGUAAUACCGGCAGCCCGAGUGAUGGCCGAUCUUAUUGGGCCUAAAGCGUCCGUAGCUGGGUCUGAAAGUCCAUCGGGAAAUCCACUCGCUCAACGAGUGGUCGUCCGGUGGAAACUCCACACCUUGGGACCGGAAGGCUCGAAGGGUACGGUCGGGGUAGGAGUGAAAUCCUGUAAUCCCGUCCGGACCACCGAUGGCGAAAGCACUUCGAGAACACGGAUCCGACAGUGAGGGACGAAAGCUAAGAUCUCGAACCGGAUUAGAAACCCCAGUAGUCC